UGGGGCGUCGCCAAGCGGUAAGGCACGGGGUUUUGAUCCCCGCAUUCGCAGGUUCGAAUCCUGCCGCCCCAGCCA
rnacentral:tRNA from 5 species